CAGCCAUAUGACAUUAGAGAUGGAGGUGUUGGGGCGUUUCAGAGGUUCAUCGUGAAUAUCAAUGUCAGCAUCACGGUUUAUGGAUCGGAACUUUUUAUAUAAUGCGGGUUUCCAUAGCCGCAUCCCGAAUGCACGAGUCUUGUUAAUAGCGUUUUGCCUUUCUUUCAAAGUAAAGGAUUCUUCAGAUCUGAGAGAGGCGGGAGACUGACCUCUUAAGGGAGACAGAGGACGUACCUUAAAGUUCUGCUUAGGAAUAUCUCUUUGUUGCCGAACAUUACUAGAACUACGACUUAAACGAGAUACCGAAUUUCUGGGAUGCUGACGAGCAUUUGAAAUAGUUGAAGUUGAUGGAUCAGUCCGAGAGGAAACUUUCCGAGUAUACUGAUCAAUUUCUCUAGGAGAAUAUAUGUCACGAUCAUUGGUAGAUUGGGAUAAUGAAUCCGUUGCAUCAGCGUCGCCCACAGUUGGCAUUAAGAAAUCGCCGAAUCGCAGAUUCUGUUCAUAAACUGAAGAAGAAGGAGUUUCUUCUGGUCUAUCAGCCCGUCGACCCUGGGUAAUGGUUUCCGCAGAGCUCUCAGAUUGAUUUAUAUCAGCAGGUUGAGACAUUGUAGGCGGUAGUAAUUGUCACAAUGAUUACUUUUCCGAAUCAAACCCUCGCCAAAUAUUCUAUCCCUUAAAACACCUGUACGUAGCUAAGAGGAUUGAGUAAAUAGGUAUUUAUAAAAAAUUGUUGAAGGAAUAGUGAGAAAGGAAGGCAUGAUUGGAAAGGUUGCGAUCAUUUUCUAUUACGCAUAUCAUAAUCAGAAUACCAAAUUGAAAAAAAGAACGCCAAUUCUACAAUAUCGAAGUCCUCCCAUUAGUUCGUUAAUGAGCAUACAAUGUUUACUUCGUUAAAGAUUGUCGGGAUGAAUUGAGCUUAAUCAGAGCCGAGCAUCGUUGUACAGUUUACUAAAUGUAGAGCUAAGCGAUAAUACGCUAACUUACGGUAUCGGUUUUUGUAAGAAUACACCGAAUUUCGUUAAGUACAAAGUAUUAGUAGUAGUAUGAAACAAAAAUAACAGUCACAGCCAAAC